rnacentral:rRNA from 1 species
GGAAUAUUGCGCAAUGGGCGAAAGCCUGACGCAGCAACGCCGCGUGAAGGAUGAAGGCCUUCGGGUCGUAAACUUCUGUCAGGUGGAAAGAAGGCUCUGCAGGUUAAGAGCUGGCAGAGCUUGACGGUACCACCACAGGAAGCCCCGGCUAACUCCGUGCCAGCAGCCGCGGUAAUACGGAGGGGGCAAGCGUUAUUCGGAAUUAUUGGGCGUAAAGGGCGCGUAGGCGGCUUGGCAAGUCACAGGUGAAAUCCCUCGGCUCAACCGGGGAACUGCCUGUGAAACUACCUCGCUAGAGUCCGGGAGAGGGUAGCGGAAUUCCCAGUGUAGCGGUGAAAUGCGUAGAUAUUGGGAGGAACACCUGUGGCGAAGGCGGCUACCUGGACCGGUAUUGACGCUGAGGCGCGAAAGCCAGGGGAGCAAAC